UACGUAGGGGGCUAGCGUUGUCCGGAAUCAUUGGGCGUAAAGAGCGUGUAGGCGGCCCGGUAAGUCCGCUGUAAAAGUCAAAGGCUCAACCUUUGAAUGUCAGUGGAUACUGCCGGGCUAGAGUCCGGAAGAGGCGAGUGGAACUCCUGGUGUAGCGGUGGAAUGCGUAGAUAUCUGGAGGAACACCGGUGGCGAAGGCGGCAUUCUGGACCAUAACUGACACUGAGAGACGAAAGCCAGGGGAGCAAACGGG
rnacentral:rRNA from 1 species